GGACGAACGCUGGCGGCGCGCCUAACCCAUGCAAGUCGAACGAGCGAGAGAGAGCUUGCUUUCUCGAGCGAGUGGCGAACGGGUGAGUAACGCGUGAGGAACCUGCCUCAAAGAGGGGGACAACAGUUGGAAACGACUGCUAAUACCGCAUAAGCCCACGGCUCGGCAUCGAGCAGGGGGAAAAGGAGCAAUCCGCUUUGAGAUGGCCUCGCGUCCGAUUAGCUAGUUGGUGAGGUAACGGCCCACCAAGGCGACGAUCGGUAGCCGGACUGAGAGGUUGAACGGCCACAUUGGGACUGAGACACGGCCCAGACUCCUACGGGAGGCAGCAGUGGGGAAUAUUGCACAAUGGGGGAAACCCUGAUGCAGCGACGCCGCGUGGAGGAAGAAGGUCUUCGGAUUGUAAACUCCUGUUGUUGGGGAAGAUAAUGACGGUACCCAACAAGGAAGUGACGGCUAACUACGUG
rnacentral:rRNA from 1 species